rnacentral:siRNA from 1 species
UACCGAUGAAGAAAACAAAAUAU